CGUCUUCUUCUUCGUCUUCUC
rnacentral:sRNA from 1 species